rnacentral:rRNA from 1 species
UACAGAGGUCCAUCAGCGUUUGGUUCGGAUUCAUUGGGCGUAAAGGGUGCGUAGGCGGCGCGGUAAGUCGGGUGUGAAAUCUCGGAGCUUAACUCCGAAACUGCAUUCGAUACUGCCGUGCUUGAGGACUGGAGAGGAGACUGGAAUUUACGGUGUAGCGGUGAAAUGCGUAGAUAUCGUAAGGAAGACCAGUGGCGAAGGCGGGUCUCUGGACAGUUCCUGACGCUGAGGCACGAAGGCCAGGGGAGCAAACGGG